rnacentral:rRNA from 1 species
AUUGGACCUGAUAUCAGGCAAGAUUACCCGCUGAACUUAGCAUAC